rnacentral:tRNA from 2 species
CUUAAAAUCCGUUGGCUUUUUAGACCGUGAGGGUUCAAGUCCCUCUACCCCCA